CUUCAUCUGAUGAGUCCAAAAUAGGACGAAACGCGUGUUCUGGAU
rnacentral:hammerhead_ribozyme from 1 species